GAUGAACGCUGGCGGCGUGCCUAAUACAUGCAAGUAGAACGCUGAAGCUUGGUGCUUGCACCGAGCGGAUGAGGUGCGGACGGGUGAGUAACGCGUAGGUAACCUGCCUCUUAGCGGGGGAUAACUAUUGGAAACGAUAGCUAAUACCGCAUAAAAGUCGGAAUCGCAUGAUAUUGAUUUGAAAGGUGCAAAUGCAUCACUAAGAUAUGGACCUGCGGUGUAUUAGCUAGUUGGUGAGGUAACGGCUCACCAAGGCGACGAUACAUAGCCGGCCUGGGAGGGUGAUCGGCCACCAUGGGACUGAGGCAAGGCCCAGAAUCCCUCGGGAGGCAGCAGUAGGGAAUCUUCGGCCAUGGGGGCAACCCUGACCGCAGCACGCCGCGUGAGUGAAGGAGGUUUUCGGAUCGUAAAGCUCUGUUGUAAGAGAAGAAAGAGUGUGAGAGUGGAAAGUUCGCACUGUGACGGUAACUUAACAGAAAGGGACGGCUAACUACGUG
rnacentral:rRNA from 1 species